UACAGAGGGUGCGAGCGUUAAUCGGAAUUACUGGGCGUAAAGGGCGCGUAGGCGGUUAUAUAAGAGUGAUGUGAAAGCCCCGGGCUCAACCUGGGAACUGCAUUGUGACUGCAUCGCUGGAGUACGGCAGAGGGGAUGGAAUUCCGGCGUGUAGCAGUGAAAUGCGUAGAUAUGCGGAGGAACACCGAUGGCGAAGGCAAUCCCCUGGGCCUGUACUGACGCUCAUGCACGAAAGCGUGGGGAGCAAACAGG
rnacentral:rRNA from 1 species